rnacentral:rRNA from 1 species
UACGUAGGGUGCGAGCGUUGUCCGGAAUUAUUGGGCGUAAAGAGCGCGUAGGCGGUCCGAUAAGUCGGCUGUGAAAGUCAUGGGCUCAACCCAUGAAAGCCGGCCGAUACUGUCGGACUAGAGUCCGGAAGAGGCGAGUGGAAUUCCCGGUGUAGCGGUGAAAUGCGUAGAGAUCCGGAAGAACACCGGUGGCGAAGGCGGUCUGCUGGGGUAAUGCUGACACUGAUGCGCGACAGCGUGGGGAGCAAACAGG